UCAGCCUUAACCAACCCACACCCUUUAUAGAUUUGGGCUCCAAAUUUGAAAAAUUCCACGUUCGACAUCACUGUUGUAGAAAUUUUCGAUAGGUAACCAAACGUAGCAUUUACUUCCGGAUCUAAGAAGUAGGAAUUGCAGGUACCAUUUCCAACUUCCAGUUCCUGACGGCCCAAAGUUGUAACGACAGCAGAUGGAUAGAAAUUCACACGGUUCCUGUGAAUCUCCACCUUCACCAUCGUAUAUUAACGGUGUCUUUCUUGCUAGUGUACCAUUUAUCAUACACAACAACUGUAUCUUUCCUUCCAUAAAAGAGAAGUUAUUUGCUCACAUGUCUUUCGUUUCUUCCUCGCUUUUCCUAUCGGUCCUGAAUUUUUCAUUAAUGGUUUUCUCCUCAUUGGUUUUCUUUUGCCCUAACUUACGGAGAGAUGCUGGGUCUCUCAUAUUGUACGAUUUUCCUCAUAUUGGGAGCAACCGCUGCUUUGAUUGGGCCCAAGGACCUACCUAUAAUUGCCAGAGCAGCAGGGAGGCUAGCAGGAAGAGCAGUGGGGCAUGUGCAGAGUGCACGGGGUCAUCUCCAAGAUGUAUUGCAAAUGUCUCAAGCAAGUCAGGUGCAAAAGGAACUUCAAGAUACAUUGGCACAAUUACAUGCAAUUCGCUAUGAAAUCAGAAGCUUAUGGAUCAUCAAUCCCACUCCAAUGACACGGAGUCUUGAUCAUACAGAAGUUACACUAAGUAGUGUACAGAUGGAGAUGUUGUUUUGAUACUCAAAAAUCCUCAAAUCAAACAUCUCGACCUCAAGAUGCAUGGAUAUGAGAAAAAAUGGAUUUCAAAGCUUAGAAAUACUGCAUCUUGUAAUGUAUUUUCUAGACCGUCAGCAUCUUAAGGACAGUGCCAAGAUUUUCUGUACUGAAACAACAUCUUUCGACACUAUUUGAGGGUGCGUUUUAUUUUGAUUGUUUAGGGCCUUAGCCUGAUCCAAACCACACCAUUUAUAUUUGGCCUCCAAAUUUGCAAAAUUCCAUGUUCGACAUCACUGUUGUCGAAAUUUUCGAUAGGUAACCAAACGUAGUAUUUACUUCCGGAUCUCAAAAGUAGGAAUUGCAGGUGCCAUUUCCAACUUCUAGUUCCUAAACGCCCCAAAGUUAUAUAGACUAACAGUAUUCCCAAUGAUAGGAAUUCACACGGUUCCUGUAAAUCUCCACCGUUCAGCAUCGUAUAUUAACGGUGUCUUUCUUGCUAGUGUACCAUUUAUCAUACACAACUAGUUUAUCUUUCCUUCCUUAAAAGAGAAGUUCUUUGCUCAUAUGUCUCUCGUUUCUUCCUCGCAUUUCCUAUCGGUCCUGAAUUUUUCAUUAAUGGUUUUCUUCUCAUAGGUUUUCUUUUGCCCUAACUUACAGAGAGAUGCUGGGUCUCUCAUAUGGUGAGAUUUUCCUCAUAUUGGGAGCAACCACUUCUUUGAUUGGGCCCAAGGACCUACCUAUAAUUGCCAGAGCAGCAGGGAGGCUAGCAGGAAGAGCAGUGGGGCAUGUGCAGACUGCACGUGGUCAUCUCCAAGAUGUAUUGCAAAUGUCUCAAGCUCGUCAGGGAGUAAACUAGUGAACGUUAUGCGCUGAGACAGGCCAUUUUCGAAGAUUAUGCUUCCUUUUAUCGGGCCUUCAGGGUCAACAAUCGGGGAAUGCAACCUUACUCGUUCGCUUUCCAGUUUACCCAUGCAGAAGCCAUUCAAGCUGUUGGUGCGGAAAUAGUCCAUAGUAGCAAGAAGUUGGUGGACCUGCAAGUGAAGCUGAAGUUCUGAACAAAGGAGAUGGAAAGAGGGAAAUUCAAUUUUGGUAUCUGCAUAAAUAUCCCUCAUAUUUAUUGCAAUUUGAAAGCUUUACUCAAUAUUUUACAUCUACGUUCAUGUCCGACUGUUUCAGACAUGGUUGCCCUAAGACCGAUAAUGUCUCUCUUUAUUAACAAUGUCAUCCAUGAGCUUUAGAUUUCGUAGGAAAUAAGACGGUCUCUGCAAUAUUCCUAUUGUCUUUUUAAUCAAAUUCUUAGAGGGGUAAUUCUGA